rnacentral:rRNA from 1 species
AGUGAACGCUGGCGGUAGGCCUAACACAUGCAAGUCGAACGGCAGCACAGUAAGAGCUUGCUCUUACGGGUGGCGAGUGGCGGACGGGUGAGGAAUACAUCGGAAUCUACUUUUUCGUGGGGGAUAACGUAGGGAAACUUACGCUAAUACCGCAUACGUCCUACGGGUGAAAGCAGGGGAUAUUCGGACCUUGCGUGAUUGAAUGAGCUGAUGUCGGAUUAGCUAGUUGGCGGGGUAAAGGCCCACCAAGGCGACGAUCCGUAGCUGGUCUGAGAGGAUGAUCAGCCACACUGGAACUGAGACACGGUCCAGACUCCUACGGGAGGCAGCAGUGGGGAAUAUUGGACAAUGGGCGAAAGCCUGAUCCAGCCAUACCGCGUGGGUGAAGAAGGCCUUCGGGUUGUAAAGCCCUUUUGUUGGGAAAGAAAAGCAGCAGGUUAAUACCCCGCUGUUCUGACGGUACCCAAAGAAUAAGCACCGGCUAACUUCGUG